rnacentral:lncRNA from 1 species
CACUCUUACCUCCCAGCGAUCUACAGUAAAGCCCCCACCAAGGGACUGAGGAGAGAGGGAAGGCUUCAGGAAACUUGGACUAGAGAGUACGCUGUAAAGUGAGUCUGGUCCACAUGAUAUUAUCGUGGUCCGUAUAUGGAGGAAUGAUAUGUUAACACAAGGGACUGGAAUGAAAAGAUAAAAAGAGUCAAGACCACAGGAUAACAUAUAUCUGGGUUUUCCCAGCAUUGCCCAUGGAAUAGAGAGCUGUAUUUAUUGACCAGGAGUACCCUGAUCACGCAGAGUAAGAAUACUCUAUUGCAGAAUGGGACAGCACAUCAGGUUUUUCUGCAGAGUGAAUAAAACACCCCUCUAAUCCCCCUGUGCUGGCCCCUUCCCUACAACCCCCUCUCCCCCUCAAUCACCUACUAUUCCUCUCCCAUCUGCCUCCACUGCCCAGAGCUUCAUCAGUCCCUCCACUUCCCCCGACCCCUGGGCUGAACUAUAGUGACUACGAAAGCUGCCGGCUUGCACCAGCCAGCUAGCUUGCCAGCUUUACUCACCACCAUUCUGAGUGGCUGUUCUGAGUUGUUUACAGCAUAAUACAAAUUUAUCUGGGGAACGGCUUUUAAGUUAUUUUUGUGCCAUGGUUUUGAUUUAUUUAAGCUUCUCCCAACUAAUUGAAGAAGCUUAGUACAUUUUGGUACAGAAAUUUGAUUUGUCAUUUUGCGCUCUUGAUCUGUUGCCUCCCAGGAAUGUGUGGUUCCUAUCUUAUUUGCCAUCUGACGCAGGGGAAAGCUUAGGUGGUGGACAUUUAUAUUUUGUGCAGUUAAUGUGGCAUGGAUUCUAGAUUUAUCUUUUGCUGUAACUUGGUGAGAAAAUGCAUUUGGAGUUUAAAUAAACUGGUAACUGACA